UUGGAGGGCAAGUCUGGUGCCAGCAGCCGCGGUAAUUCCAGCUCCAAUAGCGUAUAUUAAAGUUGUUGCAGUUAAAAAGCUCGUAGUUGAAUUUCGGGAUCAAUAUGUCGGUCGUGCCUUUGGUACGUACUGGCAUCAUUGGUUUCUCCCUUCUGACAAACCAUGAUGUCAUUAAUUUGGUGUUAUGGGGAGUUAGGACUGUUACUUUGAAAAAAUUAGAGUGUUUAAAGCAGGCAUUAGCUUGAAUACAUUAGCAUGGAAUAAUGAAAUAGGACGUUUGACCCUAUUUUGUUGGUUUCUAGGAUCGACGUAAUGAUUAAUAGGGAUAGUUGGGGGCAUUAGUAUUCAAUUGUCAGAGGUGAAAUUCUUGGAUUUAUUGAAGACUAACUACUGCGAAAGCAUUUGCCAAGGAUGUUUUCAUUAAUCAAGAACGAAAGUUAGGGGAUCGAAGACGAUCAGAUACCGUCGUAGUCUUAACCAUAAACUAUGCCGACUAGGGAUCGGAUGAUGUUAAUUUUUUAAUGACUCAUUCGGCGCCUUACGGGAAAC
rnacentral:rRNA from 1 species